rnacentral:rRNA from 1 species
UACGAAGGGGGCUAGCGUUGCUCGGAAUUACUGGGCGUAAAGCGCACGUAGGCGGUCUUUUAAGUCGGGGGUGAAAUCCUGGAGCUCAACUCCAGAACUGCCUUUGAUACUGGUAGUCUCGAGUCCGGAAGAGGUGAGUGGAAUUCCGAGUGUAGAGGUGAAAUUCGUAGAUAUUCGGAGGAACACCAGUGGCGAAGGCGGCUCACUGGUCCGGUACUGACGCUGAGGUGCGAAAGCGUGGGGAGCAAACAGG